rnacentral:sRNA from 1 species
UUGAAAGAUGACUGCCGAAGACAGCAGGUGCCGUAAGGCAUAAGGCUAGCACGCCUGCCGAGGAGUACGAAUUCUUUGAAGAAUUACCCUCUCUGUCUUUGUGGCGGAGAGGGUUUUUUGAU